GCUUGAAUUAGCUCAGUCGGUAGAGCAUGAGAUUCUUAAUCUCAGGGUUGUGAGUUUGAGCCCCAUGUUGGGUG